rnacentral:lncRNA from 1 species
CCAUCUAGAUGGGAGGUGCAGGGUGGGUGGAUGAACUAUAGUGCUGGCUGGCAGAGGGCAGGGUGUAGAGCGGUAUUGGGGUUCACUUUGGAAAACAAAAUUUGAUAGUAGGAUUUGAUGGUUCUUUGGAGAAGGGAACAUAUAAAAGGUAGGGUCUUGCUAAGUUGCCCAGGCUGGCCUCAAAUGUUUGAUCUUCCUGCCUCAGCCUCUUUGGUGCUAGGAUUACAGGUUGUCCUGGAACUCACUGUGUAACCCAGGCAGGACUUGAACUUGUGAUCCUCCCACCUGCCUCCUGAUUACAAGAAUUACCUGGGAUUAUAGGAAAUGAAGAGGUGGCUGGAGGCUGACUAGGAGGUGGAAGACACUGUACUUGCGGCUACAGCAGAUUUCUGGCUCAAGCUGACCCCAAGAUGCCAGUGUGCAGACUUCUGAGACAACCAGGUCCCUCAGGAGCCAUCAUUCACAGCUGUGCAAAGGCUGGUGGGCACAGCUGGGAUGGUAGGUGGUUGUCUCCCAUCAGCAAGAGUUUAUGGAAGAGAUCUUGUCUGCAAGAGGAGGAGGAGAAAAAAGGCAGAGGAAUCCCUCACUUCAAAUGAGGUUAUGGAGAUGCGUAAAAUGUGGGCAACAGUGCAAAAUUUUGUGGAAAAACACCACCCGAAUAAAGCUGUAGCAGUGCGAG